UACGUAGGGGGCGAGCGUUGUCCGGAUUUAUUGGGCGUAAAGAGCUCGUAGGCGGUUCGAUAAGUCGGACGUGAAAUCUCCACGCUCAACGUGGAGGGGCCGUUCGAUACUGUCGUGACUCGAGUCCGGUAGGGGAGUGUGGAAUUCCCGGUGUAGCGGUGAAAUGCGCAGAGAUCGGGAGGAACACCAGUGGCGAAGGCGAGUCUCUGGGCUGUAUCUGACGCUGAUGCGCGAAAGCUAGGGGAGCAAACGGGG
rnacentral:rRNA from 1 species